AGAAUCAACGCUGGCGGCGUGCCUAACACAUGCAAGUCGCACGAGAAAGGGGAGCAAUCCCUGAGUAAAGUGGCGCACGGGUGAGUAACACGUGAAUCAUCUACCUCCGAGUGGGGAAUAACCUAGAGAAAUCUGGGCUAAUACCGCAUAACACUUACGAGUCAAAGCAGUAAUGCGCUUGGAGAGGAGUUCGCGGCAGAUUAGCUAGUUGGCGGGGUAAUGGCCCACCAAGGCGAUGAUCUGUAUCCGGCCUGAGAGGGCGACACGGACACACUGGAACUGAAACACGGUCCAGACUCCUACGGGAGGCAGCAGUGGGGAAUUUUUGCGCAAUGGGGGAAACCCUGACGCAGCAACGCCGCGUGGAGGAUGACGCCCCUUGGGGUGUAAACUCCUUUCGAUCGGGAAGAUGAUGACGGUACCGAUAUAAGAAGCCCCGGCUAACUUCGUGCCAGCAGCCGC
rnacentral:rRNA from 1 species